rnacentral:rRNA from 1 species
UGAUGCAGCAACGCCGCGUGAGGGACGACGGCCUUCGGGUUGUAAACCUCUUUUAGUAGGGAAGAAGCGAAAGUGACGGUACCUGCAGAAAAAGCACCGGCUAACUACGUGCCAGCAGCCGCGGUAAUACGUAGGGUGCAAGCGUUGUCCGGAAUUAUUGGGCGUAAAGAGCUCGUAGGCGGUUUGUCGCGUCUGCUGUGAAAACCCGAGGCUCAACCUCGGGCCUGCAGUGGGUACGGGCAGACUAGAGUGCGGUAGGGGAGAAUGGAAUUCCUGGUGUAGCGGUGGAAUGCGCAGAUAUCAGGAGGAACACCGAUGGCGAAGGCAGUUCUCUGGGCCGUAACUGACGCUGAGGAGCGAAAGCGUGGGGAGCGAACAGGAUUAGAUACCCUGGUAGUCCACGCCGUAAACGUUGGGCGCUAGAUGUGGGGACCAUUCCACGGUUUCCGUGUCGCAGCUAACGCAUUAAGCGCCCCGCCUGGGGAGUACGGCCGCAAGGCUAAAACUCAAAGGAAUUGACGGGGGCCCGCACAAGCGGCGGAGCAUGCGGAUUAAUUCGAUGCAACGCGAAGAACCUUACCAAGGCUUGACAUAUACGAGAACGGGCCAGAAAUGGUCAACUCUUUGGACACUCGUAAACAGGUGGUGCAUGGUUGUCGUCAGCUCGUGUCGUGAGAUGUUGGGUUAAGUCCCGCAACGAGCGCAACCCUCGUUCUAUGUUGCCAGCACGUUAUGGUGGGAACUCAUAGGAGACUGCCGGGGUCAACUCGGAGGAAGGUGGGGAUGACGUCAAAUCAUCAUGCCCCUUAUGUCUUGGGCUUCACGCAUGCUACAAUGGCCGGUACAAAGGGCUGCAAUACCGUAAGGUGGAGCGAAUCCCAAAAAGCCGGUCUCAGUUCGGAUUGAGGUCUGCAACUCGACCUCAUGAAGUCGGAGUCGCUAGUAAUCGCAGAUCAGCAACGCUGCGGUGAAUACGUUCCCGGGCCUUGUACACACCGCCCGUCAAGUCAUGAAAGUCGGUAACACCCGAAGCCGGUGGCCUAACCCUUGUGGAAGGAG